CGUUCAGAUCUAUUGAGCGGAAUCCACAUCCGCUUCAGACAUUCAAUGACUUUAACGAAAUUACGAAAUUCAGUUCCAAAUUCAUUUUGUUUGCGGGCAGUCGAAACAUUUAAAAUGUGCAGAAUAAAAAUUAACGGAGUUUUGUUACUGAUGGUCCUUCAAAUAUUCUUGGUGGCUACAACAACUGGAGAUGAAUACGUUUUUUUCCUAUCAGAUGUAUGAAUCAGACCGAAAAACUGUGAAAAUGUUGCUCGAUUAUAUUGGACAGGUUAGAAAUGAGUUAGAACAAAGUGAAACUAAGGAAAAGCAGAUAAGUGAAUUAAAUUCUGAUCUUAUGGAAAAAUAUCAUGAAAUUGUAAGAAUUCAUGAAACAUUCGUGAAGGAGGCAGCUCUAUUAAAUGAGUAUAAAAACAAAAUAAUCAAAGGGGAAAACGAUUUGCAAUUGUGCCAAAAUAAAGUUGAUAAAUCUGAAUCUGAAAUUAAUUCACAACAAAAUAUUAUUAUUAAUUUAAAAGAACAACUAACAGAUAAAUCCACCAACUUAAAAAAUUGUCAAGUUCAAUUAAAAUCUCUUAAUUCUAGUUUAAUUGAAAAAGAUGAAAAUAUCAAGAGAUUAAGUGAGAAUAUUCAAAAUAAAACAGAACAUCAGAAAACACUUGAGUCGCAAUUAGAGAAGAGUAAAUCUAUAUUAAUAAAGCAUGAAAAAGAUAUUCAGUUAUGUCAUUCAAAAAACAAUAAAUUAAAUAGGACAUCAGAGAACAUUAGAGAAGAACAGAAAAAAAUUCAAUUGAAAUUAACAGAAAGUGAAACUAAGCUAAUAGAUAAACUAAAGGAAAAUCAGUUAUGUCAAUUUGAACUUAAUAAAUUAAGUACCACAACAUGCCCCCCUUUCGGAGAAUAUUCAGGAGUUCAUCAACUCAAUGUCUCUGGCAUAGGUUUAUUCAAUGUUUUAUGCGAUAGUCAGUUAGCUGGACCUGGAUGGAUUGUAAUACAACAACGAGUUGGGGGAAAUGAGAAUUUCAAUAGGAAUUGGGCAACGUAUCGCAAAGGUUUCGGUUCUUUUGAAAGUGAUUUCUUUCUUGGAUUAGAAAAAAUACAUCGUAUCACGAGCUUACAGCGUUUCGAACUUUACAUACAUUUGGUUGAUGCGAAUGGAAGUACGUUCAACGCUCGUUAUGACGACUUUAAAAUAUCUGAUGAAGAUAAUGGAUAUGCACUGAGUUUGGGUAAAUUCAAUGGAACUAUUGAGGAUAGCAUGAGAUACUCUGAAAACAUGAAAUUCACAACAUUCGAUCACGACAACGACGAAGAUGAUGAUAAUUGCGCAGACUGGUUUGAAAGUGGCUGGUGGUACAAAGCUUGUUCUGAUUGUAAUUUAAAUGCAUCAAAUUUGUAUUGGUAUCCCAUUCCACAUAAAGAAGUUAAGAUGCUAAUUCGCCCCAAAGAAGCGAUGAAGAAGUGAUAAACUGAAAAGCUGAAAUUCCCAUAUUUGACUCAAUUAUGUAAUCAUUUAUAUAUAAUUGGUGCCUUAAGAAAUGGCGUUUUGAAAAAUAAAACGAUCGACGAUUUAAUGCAGCGAUUAAUUUUUUGAAUGGAAAUAUUUCAGUUUUUAUUGCAUUUAAUCUAUGUUUUGAUGAAGCAAAUUUUAAGUCUCUAGACGUUUUCAUACUUAAAAGUGAGUAAACUUAUGAUUAUCUUGUAUAUAUCCUUUCAGUCGAACCUUGAAUAUUAAUGUGAUUUAUAUAUACAAAAUUUUGUUUUUGCAACAUUAGUUGAUGAAAAGAUAAUAAUAAUUACACAAAGCAGUGUAUUAUAGUGGGAGCUAUAAGUGUAUUUAUUUUCUUCUUAUUAGACAGAUGAAUUCAACCAACAAAUGAAAGAACAGUGCCGGAUUUACAACUAUACAAGUAAGAAAUCUACAGUCGAGUGUGCUCGACUGUGAGAUACCAGCUACCCAUUUUGAAUAAAACCAAAAUAUUGCGGUAUUAUUCUCAAAAUGUACCAAACAUAUUAUAAAAAUACUAAAAAUACCAAAUGGUAUAUUUGGUAUAUCGAUAUAGAAGGUUAUCGGGUAUAAAAAGUAUCACUGAAACUGGAAUUUAGUUAUUGUUUAUAGUGAAUCUGUCGCCACUAAAUCUGUUGACUUUCUAGUGCUUAAGCUGAGUUAACUUAACACCUUUGCUUGGGUUUAGGCAAUUAACUUAAGCUGACCAUCACAACAACAACUUUUCUACUUCUUGUCUUCUGCAAUAAGAGAGAACUACGUUUCCUCUUUCACACUUCUUUCCGCUCAACUUGUGCUUCAGUUGCCAACUUGAUGCAUUUGCUGACCAAGGCAGAGGAAACCGUUUAAAGGUCCACAACAGAGCUGGCAAAGAGCCCAAAGGUGUUAAUCAACUGCCACUUCACUUAAGCUGUGGCAUCAUCCUGUUGCACAGUGGCACGAAACUUCUUGAUAAAUGCAGUUUAAACUUUUCGUUGUUCUUAUUUUUCUUCUAAAUUAUCUUUGCUUGUUUUCCAACUUUUGUUUUGCCUUUUGCAAAAUUUCUUUAAGUAAUUUUUUUCAGAAUAGUUUUGUUACCACUGUGCAACUUACAUUUUUGUUUACGUUCUGCCAUCUUGCCAGUUCCCCCUGCUUUGCUCUUCUGUUCUCUUCUCCAUCCCCCUGACUGAGUUCACAUUAAAAGCUGCCCGCUUUUUAUUUAUGGCCAUCAAUUUUUUAUGACGCACAACGCGCUUCAAGAGCGAGAGCAAAAAAAAGUUAAAUGCAAAACGGAAGAAAUUCCCUUGCACUCCGCUCUUCUCCCUCCUCCCUUCCCACACUUCUGUCCUACUUCGUCUUUCUCAUGCGUAAGCAAUUACUAAAGGCAAAAAACUCAAGCUGCAGUUUAAAAGAGAUCCAAAUGAGCAAAUAAUAAAUGGUAGAAAUGUUUAAAUAAUAUAUAUUUGAAGAGAAUUAAACAUUUUUAAAAAUAAUAAUAAACUAAACAUAUUAAAUUACAAAAAAAAACAUAUUUAAAAUAUAAUAAAUAAAUAAAUAAAUUCAUCAAUAUUGAAUGUGCAUAG